rnacentral:rRNA from 1 species
AAACUUUACAAUGCUGGAAACAGCGAUAGGGGGACCUCGAGUGCCAAGAUACAAUCUUGGCUGUCGUUGUGUCUAAAAAACACGAUAUAGCAAGGGCCGGGCAAGACCGGUGCCAGCCGCCGCGGUAACACCGGCGGCUCGAGUGGUAACCGCUAUUAUUGGGUCUAAAGGGUCUGUAGCCGGCUGAAAAAGUCUCUUGGGAAAUCCGGCCGCUCAACGGUCGGGCGUUCAGGGGAUACUCUUCGGCUCGAGACCGGGAGAGGUGAGAGGUACUUCAUGGGUAGGGGUGAAAUCUUGUAAUCCUUGAAGGACCACCAGUGGCGAAGGCGUCUCACCAGAACGGAUCUGACGGCAAGGGACGAAAGCUAGGGGCACGAACCGG